GCGGCGGUCUUAAAAACCGCUGGGCUUCGGCCCGUGUGGGUUCAAGUCCCACUCGCCCCA
rnacentral:tRNA from 1 species